rnacentral:rRNA from 1 species
UACGUAGGGGGCAAGCGUUGUCCGGAUUUAUUGGGCGUAAAGAGCGUGUAGGCGGCCGUACAGGUCAGCUGUGAAAACUCGAGGCUCAACCUCGAGACGUCGGUUGAAACCGUACGGCUAGAGUCCGGAAGAGGGGAGUGGAAUUCCCGGUGUAGCGGUGAAAUGCGCAGAUAUCAGGAAGAACACCAAUGGCGAAAGCAGCUCUCUGGGACGGUACUGACGCUGAGACGCGAAAGCGUGGGGAGCGAACAGG